CUAUGCGCCUUGCCAGCCCGCUCAGGUGUGCCAGCCGCCGCGGUAAUACGUAGGUGGCAAGCGUUAUCCGGAUUUACUGGGUGUAAAGGGCGUGUAGCGGGAAAGCAAGUCAGAUGUGAAAACCAUGGGCUCAACCUGUGGCCUGCAUUUGAAACUGUUUUUCUUGAGUACUGGAGAGGCAGACGGAAUUCCUAGUGUAGCGGUGAAAUGCGUAGAUAUUAGGAGGAACACCAGUGGCGAAGGCGGUCUGCUGGACAGCAACUGACGCUGAGGCGCGAAAGCGUGGGGAGCAAACAGG
rnacentral:rRNA from 1 species